CCUGAGUAACCAGGAGCUGUGAAAGCAGCUCAUAUGCACUGCAGCAGUUGGUGGGAAGCACUGCUCCUUGCCGGCUGCCUGGCGCAUGGGUGACGAGCGUUCCCAGCAGAAGCAGCCAGGACUGGUGGUCUACGGAAAAGAAAUCUGUGGCAGUAAUCAAAGGAGAGCUUGUCUCCUGAGCUUCCAUAAUUGGCCAGGGCUUUCCAUUUGGAGGAGAUGCAAGUUUGCGCCGUUCAUUAACCUAGAGAUGAGUGAUGCCAAACGGGAUCCUGGAGACUCUUGAAGCAAGGACGCAGAGGUCCCCCGGCCAUCAGCACAGUCAUUGCUGUGGGAUGGGAACAGCUUUAGGACAGCGCUGAGAGAGACACACAAAUGCUGCUUAAAAAACGAGGAGCGGAAGAGGCAGUGACGCAUUGCGUGGCAGUUUGUAUGCUCUAUUGGUUCGGAUGAAAACCAAACAGGGUCCCAGGUCCCGAGGGAUGCACAGCCUCAGCUUUCUGCUUUGUGUCCCACCUGGGGCAGCUGGUGUUUGGGGCCAGCUCUCCGACCUGCUGAGGUCCGUGGCCACCUUUUUUUCUGCAGCAGAGAGAGCUGUUGCUAUGGGUUUGUCACUGGUCAUUCGGGGAGACAGUCAGCUGUGUAGCUCCUCUUUCAGAAAGAAACCUGAAGGCAUGGAUAGGCUAUUACUGAUGUACAAGUCCUUGUUUCUGCAUGUGAUAAAUGCAUGCAAAGACAAGCAUUAU
ensembl:lncRNA